rnacentral:rRNA from 1 species
AUUGAACGCUGGCGGCAUGCCUAACACAUGCAAGUCGAACGCGAAAAUUCCUUCGGGAAUGAGUAGAGUGGCGGACGGGUGAGUAACGCGUGGGAAUCUGCCUAAUAGUGGGGGGACAACUUGGGGAAACUCAAGCUAAUACCGCAUACGCCCUACGGGGGAAAGCGGGGGAUCUUCGGACCUCGUGCUAUUAGAUGAGCCCGCGUUAGAUUAGCUUGUUGGUAGGGUAAUGGCCUACCAAGGCGACGAUCUAUAGCUGGUCUGAGAGGACGAUCAGCCACACUGGGACUGAGACACGGCCCAG